rnacentral:rRNA from 1 species
CAGUAGCGUAUAUUAAAGUUGUUGCAGUUAAAAAGCUCGUAGUUGGAUUUCUGGCUUGAGACGGCUGGCCCGCCUAGGUUUCUAGGUGAGUGCCGGUGUGUCUCUGCCAUCCUUCUGGAAAUCGAUCCUACUCUUCAGUGAGCCGGGAUCGCGAUCCAGAUCUUUUACUUUGAAGAAAUUAAAGUGUUCAAAGCAGGCUUGUGCCGUGAAUACAUUAGCAUGGAAUAAUAAUUUAGGACUUUGGUUCUAUUUUGUUGGUUUCUAGAACUGAAGUAAUGAUUGAUAGGGAUAGUUGGGGGUGCUAGUAUUCAGAGGCCAGAGGUGAAAUUCUUGGAUUCUCUGAAGACUAACUUAUGCGAAAGCAUUCACCAAGGAUGUCUUCUUUAAUCAAGAACGAAAGUUGGGGAUCGAAGAUGAUCAGAUACCGU